rnacentral:rRNA from 1 species
GACGAACGCUGGCGGCGUGCUUAACACAUGCAAGUCGAACGGAAAGGCCCUGCUUUUGUGGGGUGCUCGAGUGGCGAACGGGUGAGUAACACGUGAGUAACCUGCCCUUGACUUUGGGAUAACUUCAGGAAACUGGGGCUAAUACCGGAUAGGAGCUCCUGCUGCAUGGUGGGGGUUGGAAAGUUUCGGCGGUUGGGGAUGGACUCGCGGCUUAUCAGCUUGUUGGUGGGGUAGUGGCUUACCAAGGCUUUGACGGGUAGCCGGCCUGAGAGGGUGACCGGCCACCUUGGGACUGAGAGACGGCCCAGACUCCUACGGGAGGCAGCAGUGGGGAAUAUUGCGCAAUGGGCGGACGCCUGAUGCAGCAACGCCGCGUGCGGGAUGACGGCCUUCGGGUUGUAAACCGCUUUCGCCUGUGACGAAGCGUGAGUGACGGUAAUGGGUAAAGAAGCACCGGCUAACUACGUG